UUCCUUCUCCAGGGUAUCUUCCCAACCCAGGGAUGGAACCUGCAUCUCUUGCAUCUCCUGCAUUGUAGGUGGGUUCUUUACCACUAGCAUCACCUGGGAAGCCCCAGUGGGUUGAGUGCUGGUCCCCGAAAGAUAUGUCCAACCAGACAUGCAGCCUCAAGUGAAGGAACACCUGCAUCCCCAGAAGCUGGAAGAGAAAAGGAAGGAGUCCCCUUGGAGCCCUCCUAGGGACCAUGGCUCUACUCCAUCUUGUUCCAGACCUAUGGCCUCCAUAAUUUCUCAGAUCAAAGAAGAUCCUGACAUGGCCUCAGCAGUAGCUGCCAUCCAGACUUUGCUGGAGUACUUGAGAAGAGACAGAGGGGAGACAACCCAGGGCCUGAGGGCGAAUCUCACCAGGGCCACAGAAACCCAGUGGCAUGGACUCUUCAGUGGCCGUGUUGUCGGGCGGUGAGCUCUUCCUGUGCUUCAUCGGCUGUACCUCCCUGGAAUACUCUGAUUACUCCAAAUGUAAAAAGAUCGUGAUGAGCGGGGAGAGAUUUUCCUCAGGAGAAUAUCACUGUCGAGAAAUAAAAUUGCAGAUCUGUGCCAUACUUUGAUCAAAGAUGGGGCAAGAGUAUUAAUGCACACCUAGCCCAGAGUGGUGCUGAGAAGCUGCCCUGGCACCAAGAAGCAUUUCAUUGUGUACAUUACAGAGUCACAGCCUGUCUUAUCAGGUUGUGUGUGUUGGGGUGUGUAAUACACACAAAUGCGUAUGGGCAGAAUCCACAGAAGAUGCUGGAGGCUCAAGACUUAUUUAUUCAGGCUCACAAGAACACUGCUGGGGCUCUGCAUGAGAACACUGGAGGAAAAUCUUUCACUCACAGGGCAAGAGGAACUGACAGGUCCCUAAUGGUGUUAUUUUACGUGAAAAAACAUAAUCAGAAGUAGCAUUAGAACCACAGCUGACGACGGACGAUGGAUAACGUGAUUCUAGUCCUUACUCAACACCUGUUCCCCACAGGCUACCCUGUCUCCUGGGGACCAGCAGUACCUACAGGUGCAUCAACAACCAAAGGAAUUCUGUGAGAGAUCUAAAAUGUGAGGAGCAAAAUGUUCUUAAUUUCUCAAGAACACAAAUAAACAAUAGAGUUUAUUCACUCCC
ensembl:lncRNA